UCCGUCGGAAUCUGGGAGGACCAUCUCCUAAGGCUAAAUACUCUCUAGUGACCGAUAGUGAACCAGUACCGUGAGGGAAAGGUGAAAAGUACCCCGGAAGGGGAGUGAAAAAGAACUUGAAACCGUGUGCUUACAAGUAGUCAGAGCCCGUUAAUGGGUGAUGGCGUGCCUUUUGUAGAAUGAACCGGCGAGUUACGAUUUGAUGCAAGGUUAAGCAGCUAAUGUGGAGCCG
rnacentral:rRNA from 1 species